AUUGAACGCUGGCGGCAGGCUUAACACAUGCAAGUCGAACGAGUGGCGGACGGGUGAGUAAUGCUUGGGAAACUGCCUUAUGGAGGGGGAUAACUACUGGAAACGGUAGCUAAUACCGCAUACCAUCGGAUGUGCCCAGAUGGGAUUAGGUAGUGGGUGGGGGAAAGGCUCACCUAGGCGACGAUCCCUAGCUGGUCUGAGAGGAUGACAGGCCACACUGGGACUGAGGCACUGUCCAGACUCCUACGGGAGGCACCAGUGGAGAAUAUUGCGCAAUGGCGGCAAGUCUGAUGCAGCGAGGCCGCGGAUAAUAAGAAGACCGUCGGGUUGUGAAGUGCUUACGGCGGUGAGGCGUUACCCGCAGAAGAAGCACCGGCUAACUCCGUGCCAGCAGCCGCGGUAAUAC
rnacentral:rRNA from 1 species